rnacentral:tRNA from 1 species
GGAUACAGCUCAGUUGGUAGAGUGUUUGCCUCACAUGCACAAGGCCCUGGGUUCAAUCCCCAGAACCA